AGCACCGAUAUUGAAAACGGAUCUUAAACCUUAAGCCCAAUCGACCUCUAACACAGAGCCGUCACACCAAAUGUUAACCGUAUCAAUUUUGCAAACCCUAGCAAACCAAACCCUCUUACAAAACCCCUCUUCUUCACCGUUCUCCUCUCCUCAUCUCUUUCUUCAUCCUCCUGCAAAUUCAAUCAACUGUCCUAUCUCUCCGAUGCAUUUGGUUGUAGGGCUUGGCACUUUGGCAGAUCCUGGCACCAAAAGGCAUUAUGGCAGAUAGAGUAAUCUGGUGGAUGAGUCCACUGUAUUGCAGACAAGUCUUAGGAUAUACGAAGUGCAAUAUUACUGUUGUUUCGGUAUAUGACUCGUUUGAAUUAGAAUUGUCUGUGUUAGUUGUUGAUGUGUGAAGAUUGGCAAGAAUGAUGAUUCAAUUAGAUGUGUGAAAGGAGCAAUUCUUGAUGAACAUAAAACUUUUGAGGCAUAAUUAGUCUGACUUGCCAAUUUUCCCUCAAUUGUUCCCUUGCCUUGUAUUGGAGCUGUUGUGAUGUGGUUGUUAGAGAAUUUGGUUACAGUUUUUGCAUAUGUCGGAGUACUAUUGAAUAAUGACCUGAUUUGUGGUGUCGAUCUUUGUCGAUGUUUUUGGAGAUUGAUUUGGUGCUUUAAAACGUCUGUACGAAAUAUUUGUAAUGUGUGAGUUGUUUGGUGAAGAUGAAAAGGCAAGAAUGAUGAUUCAAUUAGAUGUGUGAAGAAAGCAAUUUCUUGUGAACAUUAAACUUUUGAGGCAUAUUUAUAUCCUGACUUGCCCGAAUCAAUUGUUUGUGUAGCUUAGAUAAGAUUAGUUGUGUUUGAUGAACAUCAAUUGAAUCAGUUUCAUUGUGAAGAAAGCAAUUUCUUGUUUCUAAUUUCUUGUUGUUCUUAAAUGUUCUAUAAAGCUGAGAGUAGUUGGUACCAAAAGGUUUUGUUUUGCAAGAAUGAUGAUUCAAUUAGAUGUGUGAAGGGAUUCAAUUUCUGAUGAACACAAAUUAUUUGAGGCAUAAUUAGUCUGACUUGCCAAGUCAAAUCCGUCUUUAAUUUUGUAGAGUUUUAUGAUACCUUUUGUAGAUUUUGAUCCUAAGAUUUGUUUAGAAUAAUUGAUGAUUUCAUUUUAAACUUGUGUGAAGGAUGAAAAUCCUAAUGAACCUUUUGAUGAUGGCAAGAAUGAGGACUAAAUUUGUGUGAAGGAUGCAAAUCCUAAUGAACCUUCAACUUUACUAAGCUUAUUGAUAUUCUGACUUGCCAGAAUAAUUCUCCCAAAUCAUAUUUUCCAUUAUUGGUCCAGAACCAGAAGUGAAACAAUUUCUUUGAUCUGCUUUAAUCUGUUGUAUCAAUGUGACGGAUUUUUCAUUGAUGUUUUUAAACUUUCAUAAUUGUGUGUUUGAAGCUGUCUAUGGCGAAGGCCAAAGCUACCUUUUAGGAUGCAGGAGAUGAACUUUACGAGCAGCGAAUUUUGUUGUGCUACAUUGAAAAUGCCUCGAGUAUGUGGCUUCAUCAGUUAAUCAGUUAUGCAGUGCUGACUCUAGACUAUGCCAUUAAGCACGCUCGGAGUGUCUUUGUUGCUAUGGAUCCAUAGUUUGAAGUUUUUGUUCUCCAACGUUUUUUACUCCUUAACUAGUGUUAAUUUGAAAUAUUUAUCAAGUAGAGUAGAAAUUCUAAAUUAUAUUAUUUAAUCAAAUUAAAUAUAUAAUCGAAAUUCUAAUAUUAUUAAGUUAGUUUGCACAUUACUUCCAACUGGAAGGGGUAAAAAUUGGAAAACUUGAAUGCAACUUGUUUCUUAUC